GGGCGAUUAGCUCAGGGGUAGAGCACUUCCUUCACACGGAAGGGGUCGCUGGUUCAAAUCCAGCAUCGCCCA
rnacentral:tRNA from 1 species